rnacentral:misc_RNA from 1 species
AAGUCGUAACAAGGUUUCCGUAGGUGAACCUGCGGAAGGAUCAUUAUCACGUAAUAAUCCACGUUAUAAACCCUUCUUUGAAUUGUUUAAAAAAAACAUAAAUUUCUGGAACAGCUUUCGUAGCUGGAAUGCUUUUGGAUUGGGUUAUGGAAAUUUUUAAUAGAACACUUUUUUUCUAUAAAUUUAUUUUUUAUGGGAAAUUGAAAUGGGAAAAUUAUUGUAAUUUGAGAUCCCAGAGUUUUGUUAAUAGUUCAUAACCAGCAAUUCGUUGGCGUCUAAGAAAUUGUAAACUCAAAUUACAUUUAUAGAAUUAACUAUUUUAACCCCUUUUGAUAAAUUGAACUAACGAUUCUCUACUCUAUCCCUUAAACAAGGUGUGAGAUUGAAUAAAUACGAAACAAAGAA